rnacentral:rRNA from 1 species
GGAAGGUCAUCAUUGAAUAAACCUGCACAGGCUGUUGCUGGCCCUUCUUGGGUAUGUGCACGCUUGUGUCAUCUUUAUUUUCUCCAACUUGUGCACAUAAUUGUAGAUCUGGAUUAUAUUUUUGAAAUCAUUUUUUUUCGAGUUGGGACUUGCUGUGUUUCUCUCACAGCUUUUUGCCCUGCAUUUUUCCAGGUCUAUGUCAUUUCACAACCUCGAAUACAGAAUGUUGAAUCAUAAAAGUUAAAUAUACAACUUUCAGCAACGGAUCUCUUGGCUCUCGCAUCGAUGAAGAACGCAGCGAAAUGCGAUAAGUAAUGUGAAUUGCAGAAUUCAGUGAAUCAUCGAAUCUUUGAACGCAUCUUGCGCUCCUUGGUAUUCCGAGGAGCAUGCCUGUUUGAGUGUCAUUAAAGUUCUCAACCACAUACUACAUAUGUGGCUUGGAUGGUGGGGGUUUGCAGGCUUUCUCUGAGGGUCUGCUCCUCUGAAAUGCAUUAGUGGUAUUCCUGAGCUUUACUACAGAUGUGAUAAUUUAUCUACAUCCCAAAAGUAUGCUUCAACAACACCGCUCCUAACAAGCGAAAGCACAUUUCGAUGAAUUUGACCUCAAAUCAGG